rnacentral:rRNA from 1 species
GACGUAGGGCGCGAGCGUUGUCCGGAUUUAUUGGGCGUAAAGAGCUCGUAGGCGGUCUGUCGCGUCUGCUGUGAAAACUCAGGGCUUAACCCUGAGCUUGCAGUGGGUACGGGCAGACUAGAGUGCGGUAGGGGAGACUGGAAUUCCGUGGUGUAGCGGUGAAAUGCGUAGAGAUCCGGAGGAACACCAGUGGCGGAAGGCGACACGCUGGGCCGUACCUGACACUGAUGCGCGACAGCAUGGGGAGCAAACAGG